UACGGAGGAUGCGAGCGUUAUCCGGAUUUAUUGGGUUUAAAGGGUGCGUAGGUUGUUUUUUAAGUCAGCGGUGAAAGUUUGUGGCUCAACCAUAAAAUUGCCGUUGAAACUGGAAGACUUGAGUGUGUUUGAGGUAGGCGGAAUGCGUGGUGUAGCGGUGAAAUGCAUAGAUAUAACUUAGAACACCGAUAGCGAAGGCAGCUUACCAGACUGAGUCUGACGCUGAUGCACGAGAGCAUGGGUAGCGAACAGG
rnacentral:rRNA from 1 species